GACUCAGAUAAAUUCCUCCCUUGGUCAAGUACCCUAUAACAGAGAUUGAUUUCUUCCUACUUAAUCUAGAUGCUGAAUUGUGUGCAGUGGUGAUGCUCAGGACCUCAACUAUCAUGCUAGUGGAAAGCCGUCAAGGAGGAAUUCUGAGGAUUCCAUCAGAUGUAUGGUGAUCUCCGUGGAAGAGAAGCCCUCCGGAGAUGGAACAGCAGAAUAAGGUCCUCAAUCCAGCUCCAGUCCCCAUCACGACACCGCUCCCCGGUGCGGCACUGGUCUCCAUCGCAGUACCACUCCCUGGCACGGAACUGGUCUCCAUCGCGGCACCACUCCCUGGCGUGGCACCAAUCUCCAUUGCAGCACCGCCCUUCUACACAGCGCCGGUCGUGGUCACGGUCACCAUUACGGCACCGCUUUCCACACUGGCACCGAUCACCGUACAAUCCUCACCUGUCAAGUGUGAUAGAAAAUAUCUGGGCUUGGAGAAUGUGAUGCACCAGCAGUAUGAAAAAUGAGACACUUUAUUUAUACAGGUGAGAUAAAGACAGGAAAUUGCCAUAUUAUGUCAUUUUCCUCCGAGCUGCCUCCGAUGGACUUGCUAUUUCCAUGAGGACUUAUUGUUCCUGGAGGUGACAAGUGAUUUAGCUUGUUCGACAGGGUUCCAUGGUGAGAACAGAAAUUGAACAUUUGCCAAAUUACCCAGUAUCUUUUUUAGUAUUAUUAUGAUAAGGUCACAUUCCAUUGCUGAUUUCUUUUCUUUAAACACAGCACUUUAUAUAUGUGGUAUUUCAGAUGUCGUCUGACUCAUCCUAAUGUUUUGCAGUGACUAAUUACAACACUUAGCUCCUUCAUGUCUUCUUUCAUC
rnacentral:lncRNA from 1 species